rnacentral:tRNA from 1 species
GGGACGCUAACUCAGUUGGUUAGAGUAUCGGCCUUUUAAGCCGAGGGUCCUGUGUUCGAAUCACAGGCGUCCCA